GCGCCGAUGGCAUUUUGUGCACCUAUAACGUGUACGGCAACAAUUCUGCACCGCCAUCCAAUGCUGCACUUUUCUGUUAAGUUUGUCGUGAACUUAGUUGGGACAUUUGCUGCGCAUGGUGCAUUUGACCAGUACGCUAGCUACGCGGAUAGUUACAAAUAGCAUGUGCUGGACCAUGUGAACAGAGCGGCUGGACGACACUUCAGCGUCAAUCCAUGUGGUGCUCCAUCGCAACGCCUCGAAGCAACAAGCUGACAUGGCUUAUUUAACUACAGGAUGCGAAAGGCAGAAAACAUGCAGAAAACACUCCGCUUCUCAAUGGCCAUAUUGUGACUGCGUGCACGCUUCAGCCCUGUAGCCAGCCAACAAAGCAAUGACUAAAACGGCAUAGUAUUAAGCACUCAAUAUAAAACUAAAACUAAUAAACUAUGUUCCUAAGUUUUCUGCGUUUGUAACAAAUAGUGAAGCAUCGGAUGCUUGUCAAUCGUCAAUAAACUGUCAGAUACACAGCUGUGGUCAGUCCAAGUGCGACUGGGUUCCCACAAACAAGUUUUUCCCCGGUUUUUUCUUCCUGUUUUUCCGCUGAGGCGCACAAGAAUAAGUUUGCUGCCCGCAUGCGUGUUGUUGUUGUUCAAGAUUAUGAGAUGAUUAUCUACGUUAGAAUUUGCUACGAGGACGAUAAACAACUUAGGACUGUUCCAGUAGGCGAUGUAAAAGAUUUUUCACCGCGUAACCACCUAUCUGGUGAAACGGAUCGACGACGAUGGAGAGACGGAUCCUGGCACUGGGAGAUUCGGAGGAUUUCUCCCACACGGAGAAAGGAAGGACGCAUAUUCCAAAAAGGGUUUUUUUGCCAGCAUCUUUCGACUGUGCGAAUGAAACAGAGGCAACUUAUUUUGUAGAGCUCUUACGGGGGCCUUUGAUUAACACUUGAGUAAAUUACAUGUUACAACUUGUUUUCUGUUUUGCACAGAGUCCUGUCAAAGAAAACAAAAACAAAAAAUAAAACGGCAAGCUGUCUA